GAUGAACGCUAGCGGCAGGCUUAACACAUGCAAGUCGAGGGGUAUUGGUUUUUCGGACCAAGAGACCGGCGCACGGGUGCGUAACGCGUAUGCAAUCUACCUUUUGCAGAGGGAUAGCCCAGAGAAAUUUGGAUUAAUACCUCAUAGUAUAGUACUUUGGCAUCAAGGAACUAUUAAAGUCACAACGGCAAAAGAUGAGCAUGNGUCCAUUAGCUAGUUGGUAAGGUAACGGCUUACCAAGGCUACGAUGGGUAGGGGUCCUGAGGGAGGA
rnacentral:rRNA from 1 species